AAUUGGACUAUCAAAACGACCUAAAAUGUCAAAGAAUUACUCAUAAGAGACAUGGUAGGGAGAAGAUGUUCAUGUCCUAAUCCUCAGAACCUAUGAAAAAGUUACAUGGAAAGUGAAGAAUUAAAGUUACAGGCUGAUGGGCUACUUAGGCCUGAUGGUGCUCAAGCAAAGAUGCAGAGGCAAGCAGAAAGUUGCAGGGCUCUUAUGGCAUCGUCUCAGAAUCAAUGCUUCUGGCUUCUCAGAAAAAAAAGAGGUCUCUUCUUAUUUUCACUGUUUAUCGUAUUCCCUCCUUAACCUACAGAAACUGGACUGUUACCUACCUCUGUUACUCCAAUGAAGUCACUCCCUGGACAUCUCCUAAUUCAACAAUUACACCAGUUUUGUCUUUACUUCAUUUUUUUGUGGUCACAUUAUUGUUGACUUCUUUGAUAUCCUUAUUUCUUCAUAUUCUCUCUUCCUUGCUAACAGCUCCCUUUCAAGUUUAUCUUUCUGAGUCCUUGCAUAACUGUUGUUGUUUCCUGGCAAUGGUAUAAACUCUUCUCUUCCCAUUUUAUGCCCUCCUUCCAAGCAAUCUUUCCUGUGCCCAUGGUUUUUAUUGACGGCUUGUAUGUUGAUAAUUCCCAGAUUUAGAUUUAUUUUUAGAAUUUUUGGUCUAUAUAUGACAAUGUCUACUAAAUAGUAUUCAACAUGCCUUAAAAGAUGUUAGCUACAUAGUCAGAAAAUUACCACCUAACAAUGAAAACAAAUAAUAUAUAGCUAAAUUCAAUUACAUGAAUGAAUUUCACAAAUAUACUAUUGAAGCACAUUUAUAAGCAAGUUGAUUAAGAGCAAGUACUAUACUUACAUUCAAAUAAAAUUCAAAAAUGCUCUACUGGGCA
rnacentral:lncRNA from 13 species